rnacentral:rRNA from 1 species
GGGGAAAAAUUAAUAAAAAAAAAAUAAUAAAAAAAUUUUUAAGGUAUAUUUUAAUGGGGGUUAGAGUAUAUAUAUAGGAAAAAUUUUAAAAUUUAUAGUGAAAUAGUAUUGUAAGAGAAUUUUGAAAUAAGUAUAAAAAUUAUAAAAAAGUAAAUUUAAUUUAUUGUAUCUUGUGUAUCAGAGUUUAUUAAUAAAAUUUUCUAAAUAUAAAUUUCUCGAAUUUAAAAGAGUUAAUUAAUUAUAAAAGUUAAUGUAGAAUAAUUAUUUUUAAUAAUUAAUUAGAAAUGAAAUGUUAAUCGUUUUUAAAAAUAUCUAGUUUUUUUAGAAAAAAAUUUAAUUUUAAAUAUUAUAUUUUAAAAUUUUAUUAAUAAAAAUUUUAAUAAUUAAUAUUAAAUAUUUUAAGGGAUAAGCUUUAAAAUAAAUUUUUAUAAUUAAUAAUAAUAAAAAAAAUUAAAAUUUUAAAAUUUAAAUUGUUAAAUAAAUUAUAAUUUUUUACAAAUAAUUUAAUUUUAAUUAAAAUUUAAUAUAAAAUUUAAAUUUUUAUAAAAAAAUAUAUUUUAAUAAGAUAAAAUUAAAUAUAAUGAUAAAAUUAGUAUAUAAAAAUUAUAAAAAUAAUGAUUUAUUAAAAAUUAAUUAAAGGAAUUCGGCAAAAUUAUAUAUUCACUUGUUUAUCAAAAACAUGUCUUUUUGGAAAUAAUUUAAAGUUUAAUCUGCCCCCUGAUAAAUAUUUUAAAGGGCUGCAGUAUUUUGGCUGUACAAAGGUAGCAUCAUCCUUUGUCUUUUAAUUGGGGACCUGUAUGAAAGAUUGGAUGAAAUAUAAACUGUCUGUAAUUAAUUUUUAAAAUCUAAUUUUUUAGUAAAAAAGCUUAAAUAAUUUUAAAAGACGGGAAGACCCUAAAGAGUUUUAUAAUUUAUUUGGUUCUUUUUAAUAUGUAAAUUUUAAAAUUAAAAUUAAAUAAAUUAUUUUGUUGGGGUGACAGAAAAAUUAAAUUAACUUUUUUAAAUAAUUAACAUUAAUUUAUGAAUAAAUGAUCCAUUAAUAUUGAUUAAAAGAAAAAAUUACCUUAGGGAUAACAGCGUAAUUUUUUUUUUUAGUUCAAAUAGGAAAAAAAGUUUGCGACCUCGAUGUUGGAUUAAAAUAAAAUUUAAAUGCAAAAGUUUAAAAUUUUGAUCUGUUCGAUCAUUAAAAUCUUACAUGAUCUGAGUUCAAACCGGUGUGAGCCAGGUUGGUUUCUAUCUUUAAAUAAAAAUAAUAUUUUAGUACGAAAGGAUCAAAUAUUAAAAAUAAUUUUAUAAAAAUGAAUAUUAUUAAUAAUAUU